rnacentral:tRNA from 1 species
ACUGAUUUGGUGUAAUGGUUAAGGUAUCAGGCUAGAAACCUGAAGGCUGGGAGUUCUAGUCUCCCUUUGGGCA